rnacentral:rRNA from 1 species
UACGUAGGGUGCAAGCGUUAAUCGGAAUUACUGGGCGUAAAGCGUGCGCAGGCGGUUGUGCAAGACAGAUGUGAAAUCCCCGGGCUCAACCUGGGAAUUGCAUUUGUGACUGCACGGCUAGAGUGUGUCAGAGGGGGGGGUAGAAUUCCACGUGUAGCAGUGAAAUGCGUAGAGAUGUGGAGGAAUACCGAUGGCGAAGGCAGCCCCCUGGGAUAACACUGACGCUCAUGCACGAAAGCGUGGGGAGCAAACAGG